rnacentral:rRNA from 1 species
CCUACGGGUGGCUGCAGUAGGGAAUAUUGGACAAUGGGUGAGAGCCUGAUCCAGCCAUGCCGCGUGCAGGAAGAAAGCCUUCUGGGUUGUAAACUGCUUUUUUCAGGGGAUAAAAUACGCGUGCGCGCGGAAUUGCAAGUACCUGGAGAAUAAGCCACGGCUAACUACGUGCCAGCAGCCGCGGUAAUACGUAGGUGGCAAGCGUUGUCCGGAUUUAUUGGGUUUAAAGGGUGCGUAGGUGGUUUCUUAAGUCAGUGGUGAAAUACGGCAGCUCA